rnacentral:misc_RNA from 1 species
GUUGAACGUGCAGAGAGAUUGUGAUCUGUCAGUUUGAGUUUGUGCAAAAAAGAGAAAGAUUCGUCAAAAAAAGCGAUUCAUAAUCCUCUAAUCAAGUGGAUAGAUAUCCUCUGUUCGUCAUCCAAGUGAUUUUGGUCGUAAUUGAUAUCGGAAAGUGCACCAGCGCGACGGAAUCCCGCUCAAUUCGGAACAGAUUCCACCGGGAAAAAGUGUUAAUUUUGUGGCAGCAAGAAGUCCUAGUGUUUGUCCAAGAAUCUUCGGGUGAAGGAGAAAGCAAUUUUGUAGGAAAUCAGUGCAGCAGAGUAAGCGGGACGACGGUACACAAGAGAGGUGGAGGAGACGAAACACACAAAAGAGGAGUUGUCCCCGGGACCUGCUGAUCCGUGUUCCGACAACCGUAAACAAUCCCAAAGAAGCACUCGCACGUUCAGAUUUUAGCGAAAAAUGGCCAAGAAAACGUACGACCUGCUGUUUAAGCUGCUGCUGAUUGGCGAUUCCGGCGUCGGGAAGACCUGCAUUCUGUUCCGGUUCUCGGACGACGCCUUCACGUCCACCUUCAUCUCCACCAUCGGCAUCGACUUCAAGAUCAAAACGAUCGAGUUGCGCGGCAAGAAGAUCAAGCUGCAGAUCUGGGACACGGCCGGCCAGGAGCGGUUCCACACCAUUACGACCUCGUACUACCGGGGUGCGAUGGGCAUCAUGCUGGUGUACGACAUAACCAACGAGAAGAGCUUCGACAACAUAGUCAAGUGGUUGCGGAACAUAGACGAGCAUGCCAACGAAGACGUGGAGAAGAUGAUCCUCGGCAACAAGUGUGAUAUGACGGACAAGCGCGUCGUCAGCCAGGAACGGGGCGAGAGUAUCGCCCGCGAGCACGACAUCCGCUUCAUGGAGACGUCCGCGAAGGCGAACGUCAACAUCGAGAAGGCGUUCCGCGAGCUGGCGGAGGCGAUCCUGGACAAGACGGCCGGCAAGGAGACGACGGACAACCCGGACCGGGUCGUGGUGAACCGCGGCAUCGGCGACAAACCGCCCGCCUACAAGGCGUGCUGCUCGUAGAAAAGCGGCCUCCGUCCGCCCACGUACGAGAAGAACCUGCUGCAGAGGGGGAGGCGGCGCUGGUGUUGCUGCUGCUGCUGCUCCUGAAGUUCCGCUGUGUGUUUCUGUACUGUAUGUGGUCAAAUAGUCUUUCUUUUUUUCCUGUGAGAGGGGUUGUGUUGGCAUUACUUGCGUACAACGCUAUGUGUACGUUCGGGUAGUGCGUCAUUUGUGUUUAUUUUUGAAGCAGAUAGAAUAUAACUCUGAUCAUAAUGGGUCAAGUGUACUCAACUAUUGUUCUAAAUCCUGUGGAAAGUCACAUUUUAUUUCAUAUUGAACAGCUGAUUUAGAAAUUAUUCCGCUCACGAAACAUGCGCUUAAAAAAGGAUUCUUUCUGCACAAAUUUCACGGCACAUGCAGUUUCCAAACUUCAAGUUGGAAAAAACUAGAAUCAGACAUCAGAUUACUGGAAGUGUUACACAAAUUUGAGAUAUUUCACGCCACGUUUACUCUCGGUCUUUGGCUGCAUCUGUACUUGUUUUCGACCGUGAUCGUUCUUCAAACCCAGGAAGAAUUGGCUCCACUGUAGUCUGUCCUCUCGCUGAUAGUCGAUCUCCGAUGCAUCUACGAAAUUCUUCCGAAAGUGGUCCUCCAGCGCUUGCCACCUCAAUUUUACCGUCUUCCUAACCUUGACGAUCCCGAGACAGCUGCAACUUGACUUUGCAGUCCCCCUUCAAGAACUUCUCGCAACCCUCAUUUCCGGCACAUCCGCCGUGAAACCUGCAGCUCUCGCUGGUCAGCGGCAGGAUUUUUACAUCGGCGAUCGCCCCCCUAACUUUUUCCAUUGGUCACUUCCUGAUACAAAAACGUUUUAAACUAGUCUUUUCACGAGAUUUCCGGCACCUCUUCGCCACGUUGGUGGUGAAAAUUUUCCACUCGCGAAAGCGUCAAAAUGGCGUUCUUGCGCAGCUCGCCCUCAAACUUUCACUCAAAACUAAAGUUACCGGUUGAAAGGGUUUAAAGUAUCCUUUUAAAUGGUAACCGAGCUUUACCCUUUGCAAAAGGGUACAGAUUACCCUUUUCAAAGGGUGAAAACCACCCUUUGAAAUCACUUCGCUGGCUUUACCCUUUCAAAAGGGUACUUUCUUUACUGCAAGCGAUGACUGCGCCGCCCUGCGUUUAAAAAUCAGAACUAGCUUUUGUUUUGAACUUGUCAGAUCUUGUUCGUGUCAUCGCGUGUAAACUUUUUCAGUUUGCCGGAACUGUUCCGGACUAAGUUCGCCAGAACCAGAACCAAACUCAUCAACGACGAGCAAAACGCUGACAGCAUCACGUCGGAGUUUAUUGAGCCGAAUGCUUCCAUCCCGCUGGACCGGCUGUUUCCGACGGUUUCUUCGUCCAUCAUCUUCGACCCGGACGAACAACUCUCGAAAUGCACAACCAACUAGUUCAAGCAGUGCUCUAUCCGGCAGAGCAGCCUACCCUGGACUAGAAUGUUCCCGGCGCUGCGAAACACCUCCAGCUUGAAUCCCGCCAUCUGCUUUGCCGCAUUCGUCAGCAGAUUGGCACCAUCCGCAACGGCAGUUCUAAGGAACAGCAACAGUUAAGUCUUCGUCGAUGGAUGCUGCCUAAAGCGGACUAACAAUAAAACCCACACUACGGGGGAGACUCUCCGGUGGAACGACCUAAGGAUCAUCCAGCGCUGGACAUGGUACCGGGAAAGGACUGCAAUCGCGCACAAAUGACAACCCGGAGCAGACAAGCGAACCUGUCCCAGGUGCAUCUCGGAGCAGAACUACAAAGCAGCACGGAAAUCAUUCUGGCAUGGACGUUUCGUUACCGGAUAGCUGUCGGUGGUCAGAAACCUAUUCCUGCUGAUGAACAUCUAGAGUGGCUCGUGAUAGUUUUGUAAAAAAUUUCGAAAUAAAUUAUAAUUGAAACUAUUUUUGAGACGAAACUUCUGCUUAAAUCAGUAUAAAAGAAUAACCAAGAGAUGGCGCUACUGUAUCAAACAUUUUUUAUGACCCAUAGAUGUCGCUAGUGAGCGCGCCGCUCCAAGACCAGUAUCCUUUUAAAGGGUAUUGAGCCAGUACCCUUUUGAAGGGUUUCGCCCUCGUACCCUUUCAAAAGGGUGACGACGGGUAAAGUUGAAAAAAGGAUAGAAAGUACCCUUUUAAGGGUUAUUCUGAUUUUGUGUGUUGACAUCCCAGCAGCACGCAGCCAGACGGGGGGUGUUCACGCAUUACGAUGCUCGAAUUUGUUUGACACUUGACAGCCAAUUUGAAUCGCACUCAAAAUUGGGUAGCACGCAGAAUGAAGGUUCAACUUUGUGGCUAAAAUGUUUCUUUUUAAGAUUUUCAGUUUUUUUUAGAUUUUCUGUUGUCAAAUCAUUUCUAACACAAAAAAAAUUGGUUUGAACGGAAAAAUAUGUUUGCGGUGAAACUUUUUCGCAUUCAUCUGCAAGUGGAGAAACGUUUUGUUUGUCGGAGAUGAACAGCAAACCUAACCUAACCUAACGAAGAAUGUCCCUUAAAAGAACUUAUCAAGCAUAAGUUUAGGAAACGAACCCGCUUCUCAUUGUUGUCCGUGUAUAAUAGAAAUAUUCGUGUUUUUGUGCGAAGAACCAACAAUCGUGUUAGAAAAGAAGAAGGAAAAUCAACAAACAACCAAAAUCAGUAUAUUUUUGUCCGCACUUUUUCCAGAACCCUGCUGUCAAACUGGACAACUCUCUACACCCACACUACUCUUUCACUCUAACUAAUACUUGUGAUAAGGAAACACAAAUUUACCAGCAACCGACUUACACACACUCGCUAACGGAAAUUAGAGCAAGUUGAUUUCGUUUAGAAAAGAAAAAUACCAAAAUUACGUUUUUAAAUGAGUUGAGAGAAGGGGGAAAAUUGUGUUUGAAAAUAAGUAGCGCAAUGGUUUGAGCAAAAUAACGCUUCGAACAAACACUUACUCAAACAAUGCAAAAUCACACACAUAACACACACAAUCACACAAUCACGCUCUAAUAAAGAAAAAAACAAAAAUCAUGAUUAGGUGUAUUUAUGAAAUUAAACUAAAUAAAACAACAAUUCUUUCGCUUGAAUUAAGAUAAACAAAAAGAAUCGAACCACCUCACGAAAGAAAAAAACAAAAACAACAACAAGAACUAACCAGUAAAGAGAUUUCAUCAAAAUGAAGCACUCACACAAGCCGGACGAAAUAACUUAUUCAUUUUUACAUUCACAGAAGAAAUUUGAAGAAAAAAAAAUCCCAUCAAAACUUUCAUUAGCAAUCGUGGUAGUAAUGAUUCAUCUUAAUGCAACAGCAAACAAAAGGUAAACAAAGCAAACGUAAACAACAAUGGCAUGUAUAAAUUGAAGCUUACCGUGCGAAAAGAAGUAAGAGAGAAAAGAGAGAAAGAUGAAUCAGCAAAAGAUGGAGAGGAAGUUAAAAAAAAGUUGCAUGAUUAAUGCGGUAUUUUUAGACGCUAGUAGCUGUUUUAGUCAAACACACAAUUGGAGUUAAAAAAAAAUGAAACUUAUAUAUCAAAUUUGCGUGGCAAAAUUACGUAGAAAAGAGAACAUUAAUGGAGCGAAAAAGCCGAAAGGAGAAUACAAAGUGGAACGUUAUGUUACGGAACCUUAUUAUUUUUAUACAUGUAUAUGAUAAAUAGCUUUUCUUUUUUGAAAUGACGCUAGUUAUGUUUAUAAUCAUAGUGACAAAGGUAUGCUUUUUUAAUUAUAAACUAUAUGAAAAAAAUAAAGCAUGGAAAAAAGUCAACAAAAAAUAAAGCGAUCGAUUCACGGAAAGAGAGAGGCAUUGGGAAAAACAUCCUCGAACGUUGCGACGUAGAACGUGUUAGGGCAACGAGCACAGAAAGUAUUUCAAUUGUUUAUGUUUGUUUUUUUAAGAGAAAAGAAGAAAAAACGCAAAUUAGUUAGAACCCUAUCGCACGCUCAUGUCUCUACUCUUUCGCAUGAAAAGAAGAAGAAAAAGAAAAAGGAAGGAUGUCAGAAAUUGUUGAGGAAUAAAAGCGACUAUUGAAUCGACUUGACGAACUAAGCAAAA